GUUUUUACCCCCCCUCCAGGAGCUGAAAUGCAACCCUACGUGCAGAUGGUCCUCACCAACCUCGUGGAGAUCAUCAACCGUCCCAACACCCCCAAAACCCUGCUGGAGAACACGGCCAUCACCAUCGGGCGCCUCGGCUUCGUGUGCCCUCAGGAGGUGGCCCCGAUGCUGCAGCAGUUUAUCCGGCCCUGGUGCACGUCGCUCCGGAACAUCCGCGACAACGAGGAGAA